UAAACACGGUGGGGUAACCCUGCCUGUUAAGACUGGGGAUAAACUCCGGGAAACCGGAGCUUAAUACCGGAUAGUUCCUUGAACCGCAUGGUUCAAGGGAUGAAAGACGGUUUCGGCUGUCACUUACAGAUGGACCCGCGGCGCAUUAGCUAGUUGGUGAGGUAACGGCUCACCAAGGCGACGAUGCGUAGCCGACCUGAGAGGGUGAUCGGCCACACUGGGACUGAGACACGGCCCAGACUCCUACGGUAGGCAGCAGUAGGGAAUCUUCCGCAAUGGACGAAAGUCUGACGGAGCAACGCCGCGUGAGUGAUGAAGGUUUUCGGAUCGUAAAGCUCUGUUGUUAGGGAAGAACAAGUGCAAGAGUAACUGCUUGCACCUUGACGGUACCUAACCAGAAAGCCACGGCUAACUACGUGCCAGCAGCCGCGGUAAUACGUAGGUGGCAAGCGUUGUCCGGAAUUAUUGGGCGUAAAGGGCUCGCAGGCGGUUUCUUAAGUCUGAUGUGAAAGCCCCCGGCUCAACCGGGGAGGGUCAUUGGAAACUGGGAAACUUGAGUGCAGAAGAGGAGAGUGGAAUUCCACGUGUAGCGGUGAAAUGCGUAGAGAUGUGGAGGAACACCAGUGGCGAAGGCGACUCUCUGGUCUGUAACUGACGCUGAGGAGCGAAAGCGUGGGGAGCGAACAGGAUUAGAUACCCUGGUAGUCCACGCCGUAAACGAUGAGUGCUAAGUGUUAGGGGGUUUCCGCCCCUUAGUGCUGCAGCUAACGCAUUAAGCACUCCGCCUGGGGAGUACGGUCGCAAGACUGAAACUCAAAGGAAUUGACGGGGGCCCGCACAAGCGGUGGAGCAUGUGGUUUAAUUCGAAGCAACGCGAAGAACCUUACCAGGUCUUGACAUCCUCUGACAACCCUAGAGAUAGGGCUUUCCCUUCGGGGACAGAGUGACAGGUGGUGCAUGGUUGUCGUCAGCUCGUGUCGUGAGAUGUUGGGUUAAGUCCCGCAACGAGCGCAACCCUUGAUCUUAGUUGCCAGCAUUCAGUUGGGCACUCUAAGGUGACUGCCGGUGACAAACCGGAGGAAGGUGGGGAUGACGUCAAAUCAUCAUGCCCCUUAUGACCUGGGCUACACACGUGCUACAAUGGACAGAACAAAAGGGCUGCGAGACCGCAAGGUUUAGCCAAUCCCACAAAUCUGUUCUCAGUUCGGAUCGCAGUCUGCAACUCGACUGCGUGAAGCUGG
rnacentral:rRNA from 1 species